AUGCCCCUAUGGUUAACCUUCCUUUAAUAUUACAUUGCGGUCAUUUCCUUUAAUAGCUAAAUUGGAAAUGAACGUCCUUGUAUUAUUAAGAUUAAUUCUUAUUAACAAUUAUAAUUUAUGUAACAUGGCCAUGAUAAGUUUAAUUGGAGCUAUAGUAACCUGCCUGCCGCCCGGUGUGCCGGUGUGUAGUUAGCCGUGAUGUUCGAUGGUUAUACCCCCCCUUCCCCCCCCUUUAUGUUCAACUACUCUACUGAGUGUUGGUGAGUCACGUCACGUGACCCACUUUACCUGUAUGCUCAAGGUUGAGGGACGAGCAGUGAAGAAGUAGCAGCCAACGAGAACACUCCUGCUCGUCUCUGAUGAGCAGGAUCCAGAGAUCGAGAAUGGAGAAGCAGAUAUUCCUUCCUUUUUGAAUUCUUUUCUACAGACGCCCGAGGCCGAAACUACGACGCUAACAACCCCUACUGGAGACGACGGACAUGAACUUCCUGAUACUCGGAAACGCUUCGCUGCUACAACGACUCCAAUUCCAUCUCCAAGGACUAUAUGGGGAACAGAACUCCAUCAGGCUAAAGAAACGGAUCCAGGCCUCCUCUAGCAGACCGUCUAAUAGAUGACUUUACCACGACAGUGCUUCAGAAGAAAAGGUCCGAGUAGCUAUGGAACCCUACUUUUCCCAGGGGAAGUUCGGACUCUGUAAAGAGAGUCAAGCAGUUUCUGGACCAGUUCUAGCAAGUGGAUGACUAACCUUGGAAUGAUGUACCUCCAUCCCUAUACCAGCUGGUUGGUUUCUUCUACUCCAUCAGCAUCUUAAACGCCGAGAAUAUUUGCUUGUGGGCCGGGGUGUCAUGCCCCUAUGGUUAACCUUCCUUUAAUAUUACAUUGCGGUCAUUUCCUUUAAUAGCUAAAUUGGAAAUGAACGUCCUUGUAUUAUUAAGAUUAAUUCUUAUUAACAAUUAUAAUUUAUGUAACAUGGCCAUGAUAAGUUUAAUUGGAGCUAUAGUAACCUGCCUGCCGCCCGGUGUGCCGGUGUGUAGUUAGCCGUGAUGUUCGAUGGUUAUAUCCCCCCCCCCUUCCCCCCCCCCUUUAUGUUCAACUACUCUACUGAGUGUUGGUGAGUCACGUCACGUGACCCACUUUACCUGUAUGCUCAAGGUUGAGGGACGAGCAGUGAAGAAGUAGCAGCCAACGAGAACACUCCUGCUCGUCUCUGGUAACUGGCCAAGAUUUAUUAGCCGGCCUGGACAUAUUCUGUUUUAUUCUGACUGCUUCCAAUUGGGAAAAAAGACUUUAUACAUUAAAGUAUUCUCCAUUUAUAUAUAUGUUAUAUCUAGGAUCUCCUCCUAAUCGUCUCUUUUGAAAGCCUUAUGUAUAUGUUGGAUACUACAGAAGAAACAUGUAUUCUUAACUUAUAUACGAUAAUUCGUAUAUUAUAACUGGCUUUUGUUAUAUUAUGAAUAUACUUAAUUAAAAUUAGGCAUUCCGGAGGAUCAUUAUUAUUACCCUAACCUCUCUGACCAAAA